CCCAGAUAAGAGAGGAGGUGAAGCCCAUGGGUGUCUGAAGACUGACUCUCUGAUCCAAACUACAUCAUCUGCAGCAAGGAAUUCAUAGAGAAACAAGUCUUUCCUACAUACAAGGACCACUGGGUUGGAGUCUAUAAUACUGGGGGAUGGAAAUGUAUUGAUGACCAGGCACCUAAACGCACAUUCUGGAGGACUGGUAUGCCAAGCCUGACCGUGCCAAAUCCCUGUGUCUAUGUAAUAGGUUUCUGCCGGGAUUCAAGAGGCUGUUGGGAAGACACCAACUGCAGAGUCCGAAAACGGAGCAUAUGCAAGAAGAAGCCUGACAAAAGAUGGUACACAUGAAGCCCUUGAAACUGGAUUCCACAAUCUCUCCACUAAAACAAAGACAAUGCAUUGAUUCCCUCCUUUAAAGAGUCAACUAUCCAGGUUGUGGAAUUAGGACAUUUAAGAGCUCAAGUCUUUGACAUCAGCAGUCAAAAGCACUUUGUCAAACCUGGUUCCUCCAUACUGGAAAAAAGACACUUUAUUUUGCAACCACAAAGACUUGGACCUCCAAUAAAAUAAAGUGUGGAAGA